UAUGAAUGAAUUUACUGAGGUAAUUUUUUUAGUUUUUUCUUAAUUUAUAUUUUUGAUGAAAAUAACAAAAAUUUUUCUAAGACUAAAAGACCCUAAAAUUUUUAUAACGGUUGUUAUUUGAUUGGGGAAAUAAAAAACAAAAUAUUAUGAUUUUUUUUUAUGGAUGAACUUUUAUUAAAGAUGAGAUUGUAAAAUACUCUAGGG
rnacentral:rRNA from 1 species